GAUCCACUCCCUCCUCGAACGACUCGCCACCUCGCCCACGCGCGCGCGCGGCAGCAGCAGCAGCAGCAAUGGCCACCUCCUCUCGAGCACGCGGCAGCGUCGCGCUCGCCGCCAUUGUUGUCGUCGUCGUCGUCGGGGGGUCUUUUCUGUUGGGGGUGGCGGAGGCGGCGGGCGCGGGGGAGGUGCGGGCGCUGCUGGACCUCGGGGCGGCGCUGGACCCGACGGGGAGGCUGCUGCCGUCGUGGGCGCCGGGGAGGGACCCGUGCGGCGGCGGUGGAGGAGGGUUCGAGGGCGUGGCGUGCGACGCGUCGGGCGCCGUGGCGAACGUGUCGCUGCAGGGGAAGGGGCUCGCCGGGUCGCUGCCGCCGGCCGUGGCGGGGCUCCGCGGCCUCACGGGGCUGUACCUCCACUACAACAGGCUCACCGGCGCGCUGCCGCGCGAGCUGGCGGGGCUCACCCGGCUCACCGACCUCUACCUCAACGUCAACAACUUCUCCGGCGCCAUCCCGCCCGAGAUCGGCGCCAUGGCCUCCCUGCAAGUGGUGCAGCUCUGCUACAACCAGCUCACCGGGGGAGUGCCCACGCAGCUGGGGCUCUUGAAGAGGCUCAGCGUGCUGGCGCUGCAGUCCAACCACCUGAACGGCGCCAUCCCGGCCAGCCUCGGCGACCUGCCCCAGCUGGUGCGCCUCGACCUCAGCUUCAACAACCUCUUCGGCUCCAUCCCCGUCAGGCUGGCGCAGCUGCCCCGCCUCGCCGCCCUCGACGUCAGGAACAACACCCUCACCGGCAGCGUGCCUUCGGAACUGGCGAAGCUGCAGGGUGGAUUCCAGUAUGCGAACAACACUGAUCUGUGCGGCACCGGCCUGCCUGCGCUCCGGCCGUGCACGCCGGCCGACCUCAUCAGCCCCGACAGGCCACAGCCAUUCAGCGCCGGCAUAUCGCCGCAGAUCACACCGGGGUCCCCCGAUGGCCAUGGGCGUUGCAGCGGGGCUCGCUGCCCCCCGUCCACAAAGGCGCUCGCCGCCGUCGUUGUCAUCGCAGUAAUUCUUCUUGCGGUGACCGCGGCUGGUCUCUUCGCGUUCUCUUGGUACCGAUGGCGCAAGCAAAGGGUUGCGGGCUCACCGGUGGUUGUGGGUGGCCGGUGCAGUACCGAGGCUGCUGUUAAGGAGUCAUUUCGCAAGAGCGUGUCGUCCACGCUUGUGAGCCUUGAGUACUCGAAUGGUUGGGAUCCAUUGGCCGAUGGGAGGGGCGGCGCUGGGUUCUCCCAAGAGGUGGCCCAGAAUUUCAGGUUCAACAUGGAGGAUGUCGAGUCCGCGACUCAGUACUUCUCAGAGCUGAACCUUUUGGGGAAGAAUGGCAACUUUGCAGCCACAUACAGGGGUACAUUGCGAGAUGGGACAUCCGUCGCCGUCAAGCGGCUUGGCAAGACUUGCUGCAAGCAAGAGGAGUCCGAGUUCCUCAAGGGAUUGAAGCUGCUUGCCAAGCUGCGGCACGAGAAUAUUGUUGGCUUGAGGGGUUUCUGCUGCUCCAGAGCGAGAGGGGAGUGCUUCCUCGUCUACGACUUUGUGCCGAACGGGAGUUUGUCGCAGUUCUUGGACAUCAAUGAUGAAGUUGCUCGCAGCAAUGGCCGUGUUCUCGAAUGGUCCACGAGGAUUUCCAUUAUCAAGGGCAUUGCCAAAGGAAUUGAGUACUUGCACAGCAAUAGAGCAAACAAGCCCCCUCUUGUUCACCAAAACAUAUCAGCUGACAAAGUUCUGGUGGACUACACCUACAAGCCUCUGAUAUCUGGUUCUGGCCUGCAUAAGCUCCUUGUCGAUGACCUAGUUUUCUCGACACUCAAAGAAAGUGCUGCCAUGGGAUACCUCGCCCCGGAGUACACUACCAUCGGUCGGUUGUCAGAGAAGAGCGAUGUUUAUGCAUUUGGGGUAAUUGUAUUUCAGAUACUUACCGGUAAAAGCAAGAACGCGCAGCUGCCUGUUGAGUCUGAUAACAUCGAAGAUCUCAUUGACAGUAACCUAAAAGGAUGUUACUCGGCAGUUGAAGCAGCUAAGCUGGCAAAGAUUGCAUCAGCCUGCACCAGUGAAAAUCCAGACCAUAGACCUACGAUGGAAGAGUUGCUCCAAGAACUGUGCACCUUAUGAUCAUGGGCAUCAUCCACCUGUAAGUGUCCAUGCUGAGCCACAUGCCUGACAGUGCCAUGAGCUUGUAACCUACCUAUCUAGGAUCACUAAUCACUGAUCUUAGAGGCAUACCCGAGGUACCAAUUAAAUGACCUAGGAUCCUGAGAUCUUGUAUCAUGCUAAUGUUUGUAUUAGUGUUAUUACCAGUGCCCCGAAAAGCGUGCAUCGAUUAGCCUGGAUGUUCUCCAUGUUAGGUGAAUGCAGCCAUUUGUUUGCUCAGCUCUUGUGACUCCAAAGUGUACCAUCAAUCAGUACUGUGUACCAGCUUGGAUGGAUCCUGUGAUGGUUCCAUCCAGGGAGGAAGAGCCAAGAAUCCUGGAAUGCAUGUGAGGUAUACAUUGUUGUGUUGCCUUGUUUGUUUGCUCAUCAGCUCAUGCUUGGGUGCAACCUUGUGAUCACACAUGUGUACAGGGUGAUGAAAUCUCACUCAGCCCAGAAAAGUACAAGGUGGUCCUGCUUUUUUUUUUCUUUUUACUUUUUUGGUGCUAACUAGCUGCUAAGAGGCCGGACAAAAUAUAGACAACAAGCGAGAAAAUUAUGUGUUAUGUAUGUACUGGCAGUCAACAACAGUAGCUCCAGAAAACCCAAGGGAUCACGAAGAUUGAGGAGAUCUAUUCUGUCAUCCAUGGAGGGCCACUGACGACAACGGAAGGGGCGGCGCCCUGGGUUUGGCUGUCAGGGAAGGGGACAGGAUACUGUUCAUGAUGAAAAGUAACGAUGGGGAGGUGAUUUUUUUUUAAACGAAGGGAUACGUGUGUAAUGUGUGACAUUGGUGGGUAAUUACCCCUCAACUCCAUAUUUAGGUUGAUAAGAUUGAUUUUUGGAGCAUCCUUGAGGAGCUCCAGAAAAAACAUGGAGUUGGCCUCCAACUUCAGGAUUUUUU